UCCUCUGUAGUUCAGUCGGUAGAACGGCGGACUGUUAAUCCGUGUGUCACUGGUUCGAGUCCAGUCAGAGGAGCCA
rnacentral:tRNA from 5 species